GUGAGGAAUAUUGGUCAAUGGACGGAAGUCUGAACCAGCCAUGCCGCGUGCAGGAUGACGGCUCUAUGAGUUGUAAACUGCUUUUAUGCUAGGGUAAACUCGGGUACGUGUACCCGACUGAAAGUAUAGCAAGAAUAAGGAUCGGCUAACUCCGUGCCAGCAGCCGCGGUAAUACGGAGGAUACAAGCGUUAUCCGGAUUUAUUGGGUUUAAAGGGUGCGUAGGCUGCUCGAUAAGUUAGAGGUGAAAAUUCUUCGCUUAACGACGGACGUGCGUCUGAUACUGUCGGGCUAGCGAGAGAGUGCUGUGGGCGGAAUGUGUAGUGUAGCGGUGAAAUGCUUAGAGAUUACACAGAACACCGAUUGCGAAAGCAGCUCACAAACUCUUUUCGGACGCUGAGGCACGAAAGCGUGGGGAGCAAACAGGAUUAGAUACCCUAGUAGUCC
rnacentral:rRNA from 1 species